rnacentral:rRNA from 1 species
AUUGAACGCUGGCGGCAGGCCUAACACAUGCAAGUCGAGCGGAGCGGCGGACGCGUGCGUAAUGCCUAGGAAUCUGCCUGGUAGUGGUGGAUAACGUCCAGAAACGGGCGCUACUACCGCAUCCUCUCACAUGAGCCUAGGUCGGGUUAGCUAGUGGGUGGGGUAAAGGCCUACCAAGGCGACGGUCCGUAACUCGUCUGAGAGGAUGAUCAGUCAAAAUGGAACUGGGAAACGGGCCAGAAUCCUACGGGGAGCAGCAGUGGGGGAUAUUGCACAAUGGGGGACAGGCUGAUGCAGCAACGCCGCGUGAGUGAUGACGGCCUUCGGGUUGUAAAGCUCUGUUAAUCGGGACGCGGUACCGGAAUAGAAAGCAACGGCUAACUACGUGCCAGCAGCCGCGGUAAUAC